rnacentral:rRNA from 2 species
AUGCAAGUCGACGGAGAAGAGAGAAGCUUGCUUAGCUCUUACUUAGUGGCGGACGGGUGAGUAACGCGUGAGUAACCUGCCUUUCAGAGGGGGAUAACGUUCUGAAAAGAACGCUAAUACCGCAUGAUAUAUUGGGGUCGCAUGGCCUUGGUAUCAAAGGAGCAAUCCGCUGAAAGAUGGACUCGCGUCCGAUUAGCCAGUUGGCGGGGUAAAGGCCCACCAAAGCGACGAUCGGUAGCCGGGUUGAGAGACUGAACGGCCACAUUGGGACUGAGACACGGCCCAGACUCCUACGGGAGGCAGCAGUGGGGGAUAUUGCACAAUGGAGGAAACUCUGAUGCAGCAAUGCCGCGUGAGGGAAGACGGUCUUCGGAUUGUAAACCUCUGUCCUUGGUGAAGAUAAUGACGGUAGCCAAGGAGGAAGCUCCGGCUAACUACGUGCCAGCAGCCGCGGUAAUACGUAGGGAGCAAGCGUUGUCCGGAUUUACUGGGUGUAAAGGGUGCGUAGCGGCUUUUUAAGUCGGGCGUGAGAGCUGUGGGCUUAACCCACAAAUUGCGUUCGAAACUGGGAGGCUUGAUUGACGUAGAUGUAGGCGGAAUUCCCGGUGUAGCGUUGAAAUGCGUAGAGAUCGGGAGGAACACCAGUGGCGAAGGCGGCCUACUGGGCUUUAACUGACGCUGAGGCACGGAAGCCUGGGUAGCAAACAGGAUUAGAUACGCUGGUAGUCCAUGCCGUAAACGAUGAUUACUAGGUGUGGGGGGUCUGACCCCUUCCGUGCCGGAGUUAACACAAUAAGUGAUCCACCUGGGGAGUACGGCCGCCAGGUUGAAACUCAAAGGAAUUGACGGGGGCCCGCACAAGCAGUGGAGUAUGUGGUUUAAUUCGAAGCAACGCGAAGAACCUUACCAGGUCUUGACAUCCAACUAACGAGGCAGAGAUGCAUUAGGUGGCUUCGGGGAAAGUUGAGACAGGUGGUGCAUGGUUGUCGUCAGCUCGUGUCGUGAGAUGUUGGGUUAAGUCCCGCAACGAGCGCAACCCUUGUGAUUAGUCGUACGCAAGAGCACUCUAAUCAGACUGCCGUUGACAAAACGGAGGAAGGUGGGGACGACGUCAAAUCAUCAUGCCCCUUAUGACCUGGGCUACACACGUACUACAAUGGUCGCUAACAGAGGGAAGCCAAGCCGCGAGGUGGAGCAAACCCCCAAAAGCGAUCUCAGUUCGGAUUGUAGGCUGCAACCCGCCUACAUGAAGUUGGAAUUGCUAGUAAUCGCGGAUCAUCAUGCCGCGGUGAAUACGUUCCCGGGCCUGGUACACACCGCCCGUCACACCAUGGGAGCCGGUAAUACCCGAAGCCAAUAGUCUAACCGCAAGGGGGACGUGUCUAAGGUGAU